UCCGGAGUAGCUCAGUUGGCAGAGCGGGUGACUGUUAAUCACUUGGUCGUAGGUUCGAGUCCUACCUCCGGAGCCA
rnacentral:tRNA from 2 species